rnacentral:SRP_RNA from 1 species
GCCAGGUGCGGUGGCGUGUGCCUGUUGUCCCAGCUACUUGGGAGGCUGAGGCUGAAGGAUCUCCUGAGUCCAGGGCUUCUGGGCUGUAGUGCGCUGUGCCGAUCGGGUGUCCACACUAAGUUCGGCAUCAAUAUGGUAACCUCCCGGGAGUGGGGGACCACCAGGUUGCCUAAGGAGGGGUGAACUGGCCCAGGUCGGAAACGGAGCAGGUCAAAACUCCUGAGCCGAUCAGUAGUGGGAUAGCACCUGUGAAUAGCCACUGCACUCCAGCCUGGGCAACAUAGUGAGAACCCGUCUCC